AUUGAACGCUGGCGGCAGGCCUAACACAUGCAAGUCGAGCGAGCGGCGGACGGGUGAGUAAUGUAUGGGGACUGCUCGAUAGAGGGGGAUAACUACCGGAGACGGUAGCUAAUACCGCAUACUAUCGGAUAACCCAUAUGGGAGUAGCUAGUAGGUGCGGUAAUGGCUAACCAAGGCGACGAUCCCUAGCUGGUCUGAGAGGAUGAUCAGCCACACUGGGACUGAGACACGGCCCAGACUCCUACGGAGGCAGCAGUGGGGAAUAUUGCACAAUGGGCGAAAGCCUGAUGCAGCCAUGCCGCGUGUAUGAAGAAGGCCCUAGGUAUGUAAAGUACUAUCAGUCGGGAUGCGUUACCGACAGAAGAAGCACCGGCUAACUCCGUGCCAGCAGCCGCGGUAAUUC
rnacentral:rRNA from 1 species